CAGGCCCCUUCCUUUUCCCACUCAGCCGCUUAAGCGGCUGAGGGGGAAAAGGAAAGGGCCUGAGGCUGUCAGGCAUGGUGGGAGUUGAAGUCCAAACAACCUGGAAGGAGGGCCCAAGUUGGCCCAUGCCUGAUUAUCUUGAGACCCACACAAAACGGAGAUAUUUACCAGACCUGAAGGACUCAAAGGAACCCCCAGUGACGCAAUAGGCUAAACCCUUGUGCCGGCAGGACUGCUGACGUGAAGGUAGGGUUGCUGACCUGAAGGUUGCCAGCUCAAAUCCAACUUGGUGAGAGCACGGAUGAACUCGCUCUGACAGCUCAAGCUCCAUGCGGGGGCAUUAGAGAAGCCUCCCACAAGGAUGGUAAAAUAUCAGAAACAUCUGGGCGUCUCCUGGGCACCGUCCUUGAAGACAGCCAAUUCUCUUACACCAGAAGCGACUUGCAGUUUUUCAAGUCGCUCUUGACACAAACAAAUCUGUAUCCUACCUUUCUAACAAAAAGCACUCAAAGCUGCUUACAAUAUUAUAUAAAUUCUUUGUUAUUCUCCAAUUAAAAAAAACUUUGGAAUGUGUUCCACAACAAUAAUGAUUUUCUACUGCACCAUGAUCCUGUUUAUUCUAUAUUUUUAAAUUUUUGCCUUGACUCUUGCAUAGCUGUUUAUUAUUUAUUAUUCAAUUUUCCUAAGCUAAAAAUCACCAAAUUAAAAGGAACAGUGAGCCAAAUAGGAAUGGAAGACUGUGUAAUCCCUUCCCUAUCCAUCCAGUUUGUAGUACUUUGUGUGUAUCUUGCUUACUUGGCAUAAUUCAUUUUCCUUCUCUUUAUCAUAAGUGGAUGCAAUCAACUAUGAAACACACAGAUACAGAAGUGUACAUAGGCAAGUACUUAAAACACUCCCCAAAUGUAUGGUUACAUAAUUCUAUACACAUAACGAAAGUAAGUCCUUUUGAACUCUUUAUGACUUUUUUCAGUGGAAAUGAAUGGAAUUACACUAUAUGACUCACAUGUUUCCUCUUUAAAUGUCAGUAUGCGUGUUUCAAAAGCUAGAAAACUUUGCAUCAGAUCAUUACCAGAAGACAGAUUUACAGAACAGAAACAGAGUGGCACGUACAAGUUAAAUGUGGCAAACUGGUACAAACUCUAUAAAAAGUUGCCAUUCAUUCUAACAAGUUUCAAAUAUUUAGCAUCUAAAGUGAGACUGCAAUAAUCAAUAAAUUUGUUAGAGGACUGAGCUCAGUGGACACCUAAAGGGAAAAUGCUCGGGACUGCAUUGUUAGCAGUUAAUUAAAAGUUGAAAUUGGAUUGUUAAAAAUACCACAAGAAUAUCAGUCAUUAUUCCCUUCUAUUCCUGUUCCCCCCACUUUAUUCUUUCUCCAUUGCCGCCUCUUGUUAUAAUCAUAACUAAUAAUGAUUCUGCAACAUAUAAUUCAUACACAAUGAAAAUGCAAAAUGAUUGCCCAAAAUAUUUAAACAAAUUGAAAGCAGGAGAACGGUAUUGGAGAAGAUUUAAUUUGUCUAAAAUUUUAUGUAAUCUUUCAUAGAUAUAGUUUCAUCAGUCAAAAAUUACAAAAUGUUUUGCAUUGUCCUUUCUUCAUUUUUCAUAAUUCUGCUAAGCCCCUCUUUGUUCCACUGGUGAGUAUCCCUCUCACAUUACACAAUUAUAGCACUAUAAUGAUGAUGAUGACGACGAAUACGACGACGAUGAUAAUCCACUGAUAAAAUGCAAAUUGAAAUUCAUAACUUAAAAUUGAGCAAGUAGGCCUGCCGGAAGAGAUGAAACUUUAUUUAAGUCUUAAAUUCCAGCAGCUGAUCUAGCUAUCAGAGUUCUUCCGGCAGGUCAUUCCAGUUAUUUAUUUACAUCACUUUUACCCUGCCUUUCUCUCCGAGGAGACUCAAAGCGGCUUACAGUAAAUAGGCAAAAAUUCAAUGCCUAAAAGUUAUAGCACUAUGACUUCACUUUGGCUGCCAUGGAAACCUGGGAUCCUAUGAAAUCCUGGGUGUUGUACAUAGUUUGGAGAGGCACCACAGUUCUCUGGCUGAGGAAUCUUUGUUCCCUAAUAUCUAAGCAAAAUGACAUAAUAUGCAGGUCUAGAACAUACUGCACAGUUAUUAUGUGAUACAGACAUACUAUGCAAUUAGAUUCUCUAGAGUUCUCUAACUCAGAUUUCAAAGCAUGUAGAUGUGGACUAAUUUAUCCAUGAGUGACUUCUGUGGUGGAACAAUGACACAGAAAUAGUCAGCCCGCCACGUUAGCUGAGGUUAGGGGAAUAGGUUUUGUGUUCUAAGAAACCUGCAUUUCUUCAGAACUUCAAUACAAUAUGCAGUGCCAGACAAAACAAGAAAAAGCAGCUCUUCAAGCACUAUUUCCCAACAAUAUGCAGAUUAGAAGAGUAUUGAAUAUGUGUUCCAUGUUAUUCACUGUCCAAAAGUAGAAACAGAGCCCCCUUCUAUACAGCUAUAUACAAUCCAAAGUAUCUGCUUUGAACUAGAUUGUCUGAGUCCACGCUGCCAUUUAAUCCAAUUCAAUGUGGAUCUUGUAUAGCUGUGUGGAAGGGGCCCCAGAGAAUCCAGUUCAAAGCAGAUAAUGUGGAUGACCUGCCUUGAUAUUCUCGACGAUAUGGCAGUGUAGAAAGGCCCUGAGACUCAUCAGGCUUUGGCACAGCUUUCCAUGAACUGUUAAUAUCCCGGUUCAAAAUACCUUUUGAGAAAGUAAGAUUUCUAACUUCUGUUAAUUGAACAUUUUCAGCAACUUGGUCACUUUAACUGGUCCAGGUAUAUGCUCGCUCUGUGCAAUAAUGUUUUUAGUGAUUUUCAUGAUUAAAUUCAUUGUUUUUUAACGUGGAAUUUUUAUUAUAAUGUGUAUGUUAUUGUCAUUUUAUACUUUUGAUAUUAUGAAGAAAUUGUGGCAUUGAAUGUUUGCCGUUUAUAUGUAUGUUAACCGCCCUGAGUCCCUUUGGGGAAAGAGGGGGUCUAGAAAUAAAGUUUAUUAUUAUUAUUAUUAUUAUUAUUAUUAUUAUUAUUAUUAUUAUUACUACUACUACUACUACUACAUUAUAAGCAUGAUUGAUCUAAUCAUAAAUGUCUAUGGAUCAUAAUUAACUCUACAGGGUCUAUAGACACUGAUGAAGUCUGUUUCUCAACCAACAAUUUUUUAGCAUUUGGGAUUUGUUAUGUACUUAUUACAAUAAUUUUACCAUGCUUUUUCAAAAGAAUCUCAUUAGGAUGGCUUAUGAAUAACAUUAAUAUCAUACAUUACACAGUUUAGAGCAAGAGACAGGGUUUGGAGAGUACCAUAAACUAUGUGUAUCCUUUAGAUAACUCAAGUAUAAUCCAAGCCGUUUAGGAAAUGUGAUAAUUUAGCAAUAGUAAUUCAUUUUAGGGAAUUGACUGUGUGCUGAUAUACCCACGGACUGGAUGUAUUACUUUACCAUCACUGUUUGAGUAUCUAUGGAGCUGUACUAAAACUGCACUGCAACUUGUCCUUUAUCACAUAGACCUUGAGAGGAGACCUAUGAAAUACCUUUCAAUUUUUUAUUCUACUUUCUGUCUCAGAACAGGACAAGAAGAUAUAAAAGCCAUUCAUCAUUUCCAAGAGGCAUCCAUUGUGUUUGAUGACAAGUUUUCCAUAUACCAGUGGUGGUAGCUGAAUUAUUUAGGAGAUCUUCUGGGCAUUAAAUUUCUCAUUAAAACUAACAAUCACACACUUUGUUAUGCUCUGUUUAUUGCAGGCUGACGAAGGCUGCAUCACUGCAUAAUCCAGAUGGGCAUUUGCAGAUGCAUUUAAACAGACAUGACACUGAAGUGUUUAUUAGCACACAGUGCUUGCCAAAUAUUAAGUAGAGCAAUUUAUUAUGAUAAAGGACCAACCACUCCUGUCACAUAAUGCAAAAAGCGAACCCCACUGUAGUCACAAUAAAACCGAAAAAGAAUCACCGUUACAUAUUCUGUGAUUCUGCUAUUUUAGUACUGGGGGACAUUGUGUGGAUCACUUGGUUAUAUACCUCAAAAAUAUAUGAGCUGAUCAUAGAUGGCAGUCAUUAAGCCGGACAUCUGCCUAUGGUAGCAACAUAGUAUUUGCAACUUCAGAGCAACAGGUUCCUGGGGUUCAUGGGACCAUCUGACAUUUGGUUUGGAGGAAAAUAGCAUAGGAUGCAGCCAAGAAAAAAUGAGCAGAAUUGAGAAGAAAUGGAAGAAGGGAAAGAAUUGCUAUGAAUACGUGUGAUGGGGAAAAUCAGAGAGGAGUAAUGAUUGACUGUCCCCCACAUAAAGUUUUGUUUGUAUAGUUUUAGUAUUCAGAAUGUAUAUUAUUCAUAGAAUACAGAAACACAGCACAAAAAUUAGUAUCUUCUCUUUGAAGUCGGGCUAGUCUAAAUCUGGUUUUGAAAUUGCAUAGAAACAACUUUCGAAGUAAUUAUUUCUAAAUUUGAAUAUAAAUUUAAAAUUAUCAUAUACAAAAUGUAUGCACACUCUCAUUAUUUAUUUUUUUUAAGAUAUGUGGCUAGGUAACUAGGUAGGACAAAGCCAGGCAGUCUAGCACCAAAUCUGGCAAAAAUGGAUAGGUCAUUCUUGAGGUCCAUCUACAUGUUGUUUGACACCACUUUACCUGCUAUGGCUCAAUUGUAUAAAAUCAUGGGAGCUGUAGUUUUCCAAGAUUUUCAGCCCUCUCUGACAAAGAGUGCAGGUACCUCACCAAACUACAAAUCCUAGUAUGCCAUAACAUUAUGCCAUGGUAGUUUAAAUUGUGCAUUAAUUCUGCAAUGUAGGUGUACCCUUUGUAUAAGACAGCUUUCUAAGAAGCAGGUGAAUAAGUUGAAAGUGCUGUUAAGUAAAACUUCAAAUAAAGCUUCAGGUGCACAUAUGGUUAGUUAAGGGCUUUUCCACACAGCCAUAUAACCCUGAAUAUGAUGGCAGAUAAUCCACAAUAUCUGCUUUGAACUGGGUCAUCUGAGUCCACACUGCCAUAUAAUUCAGUUCAAUGUGAAUUUUAUACAGCUGUGUGGAAGGGGCCUUUCUUGCACAUAAAUGAUUGUUUUGGAGUAUAUCUUUAGACCUGCAUUAUAUCUUACAAUACUGGUAUUAAUAAGACAUUUGUGUUUAUAUUUAUGUACCUAUUCUCUGUAUGUGUUCAUGCUGAACACCUUAUGUUCUAUAACGAGGUCUAGACCCAAAGGAAAAGAUUCCCAUAUUCUUAUCAUACAACGUAACUUAUCAAUGUUGACCGGAUAUUUCUUCCCAUGUUUCAGCACUCACUUAUAAUAAAGACUAUUUGCAUUUCACUUAUA